rnacentral:lncRNA from 1 species
AGCCUAUGUGUAAAACAGCCAUUAAUUUUUUGGGUUAUUCCUAUCGCAUGUCUUGGAGGAUCCAUACAGAGAAAGGUAAAAAUGUAUUUCUUGCCUAGAAAGUUAUUGAGAUAGAUUCAAGCUAAGGUGCCUGGAAUUUCUGUGAGAUGCCUUGUGGCAUGAUACAAGCAUGCUGUUUAUCUUUCUGUGGGACUGAAUAUUAUCAUGGUGCUCUUCAGCUUGUUCUAGAGAGGAAAUGUGCAAGCAAGGAAGCCAGGAACCCAGCAUACAGGAGUCAAAACCAUUUUACAUCAGAAAGUGAAAAAGGAGCCCCUUUUGCUCUGACCUGGAAGCUACACCAAAUGGACCUCCCUCCCCCAUUCACGAAUAACCAGGAAAUUAGGGAAAGUGACUGUACUUCACGUAUUGGCAAUCCACCCCUGCCAUUAAAAUGCAUUCCAC